rnacentral:misc_RNA from 1 species
UAAGAUAUACAAUUCCGUAUGCUGUAUGCAAUAAUGCUGUCUAUUAAUAUAAUUGGAGUACAAAUUGCCAUAAAAUCGAUACAUGCAUAUAAACUGUGUCGAAUAAUUGAUAUAAUUUAAAAAUAAUGGGAUCGUAUAUUACAUUCAAUUAAUAAUUAAUUUUAAACGAAAUCUCUAAUAAUUUAAAUAUAUAUAGAAAAUUUCUUUAAACACGAUAUACAUACGUGGAGUUUUGCAUACUUUUAGAAAGAAAGAGAAAUGCAAUGUGAUCAGUUGCCAAGACAACGGUUUAUAACAACAAAACAUUUCUCUAAUUUAACUAGUUAUUUCUAAGUUAAAUAGUUCAAAAUCUUUGAAGAAGAGAAAAAACUAAAACAUAAUGAAAGAGAACAUUAAAUUCAUUGUGACAGAGGUGAACAAAUUGUUGGGACGUAAUUAUAAUGUGAUUUAUUUUAAUUCUCUAAAUUCAGAAGAAUUACUUCAAGUAUUGAAGGAGUUGUUGAUUAAAAUACAAUCAAAUCAAAAUAUUGAUGGUAAUGUUAAUAUAAAAAAUGAGACUUCUGAAGAAAUUUCCAUUUAUAUUUUAUCUAUUCUGCGUAUAUUUCAUUAUCAGCCACGAAUAGAUCCUGUGAGCUUUAGACAAGGUCUGGUUCGUGGAGAUUCUGAUAUUAUUCAUCCUAUUUUUACCUGGCUUCUAUCUCAUAUAGAUGUGGUUCAAAAAAGAGCUUACUUAUCACGCUUUUUAGUGAAGAUAGAGGUUCCUAGCGAAUAUUUAAGCGAUCCAGAAGUUUUCGCUUUUUAUGAACAAUACAUAACUUUGAUUGAUAGAUUUAAAACAAUGCAUAAGGAAAGAGAAAUAGGAAAGAAGAAUUAUGAGAAUACUAGUGAGCUUACUACUGAUUUAAAAACAAUGGAAAAAGAAAAAGAAGCAGUAAUUAUACGUAUCGAAAAAAUGAGAAUAAAAGCUGAAACUGGAAUGCAUUUAUUGGAUGUUGCCCGAGCUUUGCGAAUAGAAAAAGAUAAAGAACGUGAUUUAAUAUUGCAAGAGGAGCAAGAAAAAGAAAUAAUAUCUAGAUUACAAUCUAACUUACAACGAUUGGAAAGAGAAUUACAAAUCUUAAAAAAAGAUGAAGAUGAAAUUACAGUUCAAACAUUAUUGCAACAUUUAUCUGAAGUAAUUACUGUUCAAACUGUAGUUACGAAUGAAAAAUUACCGACAGAAAUACAUGCAAAGACAAAUCGUAUAAAAGCCUUGAACAUAGUAAAACAGUAUUCGUAUUUGAAUCCAGAUCAAAUAACAGGUCUACGAAAUAAUUUGGAUAGUAUAGCCAAAGAAAUUCAGAAUUUAAUAGAAUUAAAGAUUACAAAAAAUAAUAUUGAUAAAAUAGAACCAUUUCGACAACAAGCAGCUGCAGUUGCAAAUAUAAAAAGAAAUGUUCUUGAAAAAUUGGAAAAGACAGCGAAUUCUUUGCAAGAAUUGCAGACAAAAUUAGAAGAAAAAUGCGAAUUAUCAAAAUUGAUAGUAGAAGAUAUUCCUAAAGGGGAAGAUUUCAAAAAAUAUAUAAAUCGUUUAAAAACUAGGGGAACACUUUAUAAACAUUGUAAAUCUGAAUUGACAUGGUUUAAUGCGGAGAACAGUAUAUUAUAUCGAACAGCCGCCAUCUUAGAAAAUCAGUAUAAUCAAUGCAACCGGGCGAAAGAAAAAUUGGAAACGGUUAAGAAAAAUACUCCAAAUAAUUUCACAGAAGAGAAUGCAUCUUCGAUGAAUCUUCAAUUAUGUCGAGAUAUAUCCGCCUUUAAAGCAAAAUUAAUUCCAUUGAUAAAUGAAGUGCAGACAUUGAGAGAAAAAUAUCAUGAAUUUGAACAACAACAAGAGAAAACGAAAAAAGUGCAAGACCAAAUAAAAUCGAAUAUGAAUAUCUUAAUAAAUAAUUUACAAUCUGAAUUGGAAAGUAGAAAAACAAAAUUAAAAAAGGAUAUUGAAGAAAAAGAAGAAUUACUAAAACUCAUAGCUAAAAUGAAGAUUAUAGAAGAAAGAAUAAAACGGGAUAUAAAAGAUCCUACAAUUUCUAAUCCUGGUAAAAAGAUAAGAGAAGAAUUAAAUUUUAUUAUUCAAGCAGAAGAAGCAAAGAUAAAAAAUUUAAUAAUGGAAAAAGAACAUAUAAAAGAAAUUAAUUUAGUAAAUGAAAAACAAACACAGAUGUGGAAUAAUAUAUUAUCAGUAUUUAAAUAUAAAAUUAAAUACGCUGAGGAAAGUAAAGUAUCAAAUGGAAUUGUCGUACGACGAGGAGGAGCAGAAACUUUAAUUUUACAAUAAUAUUUAUUAUAUAUACAACAAAGGUGUGAAACAACUGGGCCAAACCAAUAAUGCAUCUCCUAUACAACUGAAUAUUAACCCUGUCAAUAUUCGCCUCGAAAAGAUUUAAAUAUAAUAUUUGAAGAAUAAUAGAAAUAAUUAAUAUUGUCAAUUAUAAAAUAAAAGUGUGACGUAAAAGGAUUAAUGCAUGCAAAAUAUUUUUGCACUUACUCCUGCGAUAAAUUAAUUCCAUGUAGCAGAACAAAAACGAUAAGACUUAUAAUUGGUAAACAUUUGAAACAUGCCGUCAGUAGAGACGG